AUGCGCUUCUGGUAUUUCCCAGCAAGGCUUAAAUAUAUCCCAAAAAGUUUGGAAAGAGAUCAAGAACUCAAAAAGCUCAUGGAGACAGCAAGAAACACAUUUGGAUCAAAACAAUGGAUGUUACAUUUGCUGAGCUGGAUCCUGUGUUCCCAGGCAGACCAAGUCAUCUUGGCUGCAGCAGACACCUCACAGUACAAACGGAGGGGACUCAAGAUGGCGCUGCGAGAACAACCCAGGAUUGGAGCCCGCGUUGAAUCUGCAAACGAGGCAGGACUUCUUCACCCUUGACGGUUUUGAGUUCUCCAUGACCUCCCAGUUCUUCAAUGUGACUGACACCGAUGUUUACCUUAUACACCUGCCUCCUGGUGACCACUUCCCUAUGGAACAGAAAGAUACAUCUUUACUGGCCCCCACACGCAGCAAGAGAUGCACAGAUAUGCCACAAUGACCACAUCUCAGUCACGGCAUGACUCUAGAGAACUCACACCUGCUUGUUAUAAACCCACCAAUUAGAACUCCUUGAGGGAAACCUGCUUGAGUAAUGCCCAGGACCAGAUCAAAGGCUUAAGCCCCGAGGACCUUCACUCUUUCUCUCUCACUUCCCACCUAGUGGUUCACCGGGCAUAUCCCUGAUGGCCCUCCCUUUGCUCCAUUGGUCCUAUGAGGUAUGCUGUCCUUUACUUUCUGGGAGCUAUAAAUAAAAGCUGCUUCUGUUUGUUGAGUUGCCUCUUC
rnacentral:lncRNA from 13 species